UCUGAUAUUUAAAAUUAAUUUUCAUUUUUUUCCCACUUUAUUCUGGUGUUACAAAAAAUUGUACAAAGAUACAAACCCACACGAUAUUCUAUACGCAUAAUACUAUUGUAUACUUUUAUUUAUUUUCCAAGUUCCUUACUAUGAAGUUAUGCCAAUAUCAUCUGCAAUAAGUCAAAAGAGAGAUGAUGAAAGCUACAAAAUAGUAAUAAAUGCAUUCAAUCAAAGCCUCGAAGUUUAUUUGAAUCCUACAGACGGAUAUUUAGUUAGCGAAAGUACUCCCGUUUGGACUGUGCGGCCUGACAGAUUUUCUCAAAAAGGUUUAAAAUAUCGUCAAGUGGAGAACCCGUUCAAAAAUAUUGGGAAAAUAUACCAGGAUAUUUUAACAAACUCAUCGGUUAUAUUGUAUAGAUCUAAUAACGGACGCGUUAAACUGUAUGGGAAAAUUCAUAAAGACUUUGUAGUACAUCCAGUACCUCCGCGAUUUUUAAAUGAAUUUUUCCGUAUGAAGAGAAGUAUAACCGAUGAAAAUAGUGAAUUUGAGGAAUCCCAUCCUCAUAUUAUUUACCGACGAGAAGUUCCAGAUGACGACAACCUACGAAGCGGAAUGAAGCUGGUACAAAGGGUGAGAAGAUCUCAACACCAUAGGAGUAAACGAAGUGUACCAGAAAUUAUUUACCCACAAUUAUUAGUAAUCUUGGAUCAUAGUUUAUACGACGUUCUAGGCAAAGAUUACAAAUCAACUAUUAUUUAUUUGCUUUCUUUUUGGAAUGCUGUCGAUUUGAGAUAUCGAUCAUUAAGUGGACCAAGGAUACGAUUAAAUAUCGCGGGAUUCAUUAUAUCAUUAGUAAAUAUUUAAUUAUGUUAUUUUUUGUAUUUCUCUAAGGCGGAAUUAAUUAGAAAUUUAAUUUUAAGAAUUUCAUUUUUUUUUUAUUUUGAAAUUUCUUAUAAUUUAGUAAUAUUUUGAUAUUCUAUUAAAAAUCUUUCCCCGAGUAUCGUUUUGUGAACUUUUACUCAAAAUUGAGUUUGAAGAUUUAAAAAAAAAAUUUAUUACUAUUCUUACCCCUGAGUAAUUUGAUAACGACAUUUGACCCAGUGAAAAAUUUCCCGCGACAAAAUACCGAAUUACUUUACUAAAUAUAUUUUACGAUGGUUCAUUUGACUUAUGAUUAUUAAUUUUUAAUGGAUAUUUUGUCCCAGAUAUUUUAAUUUUCGGUAUUUUGUCUUCGGGUUGAAUAUUACGUAGCCGCGAAUUUCAAAUUUAAAAAAAACUAAAAGAUUAAAACAUAAAUAAUAAAAUAUAGAGAGAAGGCGGCACACCGUACUUAGAAAACCAUCGUCGUGGUGAAGUAGAAGUUGAUGCCGACUUAGCAUUGACAGAUAUGAGUAAAUAUUUCUACACGGAAUCAAGAUUUCCAUUUGAUAUGUACGAUAUGGCAGUUGCCUUAACAAACUACGACAUGUGUAAUAUGGAAAAUGGUUAUUGUGACACAUCAACAUUAGGUAAAAAAAAAUUUUUGUUUCCAUUUCACAACGUAAAAUUUUUCUUGCUUCAAGAAAUUAUUUUUUUUUUUAUGAACUUCCUGUUAACCAAAAAUUAAAAUUAACAAAAUUAAAACAGGAUAUGCAUUUGAAAUGGGAGCAUGUAACAGAAGUUCAAUAGACCGAGUUACUGAAGCCGUAGGAAUUGUAGAAGAUAAUGGCGGUUACAGUGCCAUUCUCCCAGCAACUCAUGAAGUUGGACACUUGUAAUUAAAUAUUAUAAAUUUAAAUAGUAAUAAUAAUAAAUAAUAAUUAUAAUUUAACAAUUUAAUAACCACAGACUAGGUCUCCCACACGACGGUUCUGAAGAAACAUCAGAUUGUCCAGGAUAUGAGGGAAAUAUUAUGACCGGCACUGUUACUUUUAGUCACAAUAGUUUCCUGUGGUCUAACUGUAGUAAACGAUUACUUGAUGAAUUUUUCAGGUGAUCAAUCAUUUACAUUAACAAUAAUAAUAAUUAUUCAAAAAAACUAAUUCAAAAAUGUCUAUAUAAAUAUUACAGUUCAACCGAUGCAGUUUGUCUUUUUAAUGAGCCACAAAGAACUAAAAAACUACCAAACGUCUUGCCAGGAAAAAUUCUAUCACUCGAUGAACAGUGUAAAAAAGUCUUUGGAUCUAGAGCUUGCUACGUAAGUUAAUAAAAAUUUUUUGCAACGACCAGGUGAUAGAGACCGAGUGAACAAGUGCCAUUAACGCCUUGAUUGAAUUUAAUCACCUGGAUCUCUAUCUUCUGACAACGGCACUAUUUUAACAAUUUAAGGAUAUCAAUGCUACUAAUUAUUUUUUUUUUAAACGUUAGUAUGACGAAAAAGUGUGUACAAAACUCGAAUGUUUUAUGCCAAGAGGUGGGUUCUGUAAAGCAAUCUCAUCUGCUGCUGAA